rnacentral:lncRNA from 1 species
AUUGGGCUCUCUCUACUGGAAGAUUUGUUGUUCAUCCUGGCUGGUGAGAAAUGAAUGCCUCUUUUCAAAAUUUCAUUGAACAUAUGCUUCCCGCAACGAAGUAAAAUGGAGCCACAAAUGUUGGCUGCUGGUGGGUUGGUCAUCCACCGGGAGAACAUUUUGUGCACCAAUGCAAGCUCAUGUUACCGUAAUGGAUAAUUUAUUUUUCAAGUGGUUUUAUGGACUAAGCUGAUGUCUGUGUCAACAGGGUAGAAGCUUCAGCCCUUCUCUAUCGGCGGGUGAACGAGCAUGACUUUGCAGUCAAAGCUGUGACAUGAUAAGCUCAUCAUACACAAACACAGAAACACACUCGGCCUUUGUUAUCUAAAGAUCAGGGUAGAAUCUUCACCCCUUCUCUACUGGUGGGCGAAUGAACAUGAGUUUGCGGUUAACGCUGUGACAUGAUCAGCUCAUCAUACACAAAUCCAGAAGCACACUUGGCCUUCGUUAUAUAAAAAUCAGCUCAUCAUACACAAAUCCAGAAGCACACUUGGCCUUCGUUAUAUAAAAAUCUCCGAUCAGAGGCAGUUCACAAACUGGGAACGCACACGGCUAAACUGACCUUUGGUUCCAAGAAAAGCUGUGAAUACCAAUAAUCAAUUCCAAAAGCUGAAGGGAGUAAUUUUGGUGGGAAAACCAAGGGG